UACGUAGGGGGCAAGCGUUGUCCGGAAUCAUUGGGCGUAAAGCGCGUGUAGGCGGCCAGAAAAGUCCGCUGUGAAAACUCGAGGCUCAACUUCGAGCUGUCGGUGGAAACUUUCUGGCUAGAGUCCGGAAGAGGAGAAUGGAAUCCUGGUGUAGCGGUGAAAUGCGCAGAUAUCAGGAAGAACACCCGUGGCGAAGGCGGCUCUCUGGGACGGUACUGACGCUGAGACGCGAAAGCGUGGGGAGCGAACAGG
rnacentral:rRNA from 1 species